UAGCUCAGUCAGAAGAGCAUGAGACCUUUAAUCUCAGAGUCGUGGGUUAGAGCCCCAC
rnacentral:tRNA from 1 species